CAUGCAAGUCAUACGAGAGUUUUUAACUCAAGUGGCGGACGGGUGAGUAACACGUAAGAAUUUACCUUUAGGAGGGGGAUAACAACGAGAAAUUGUUGCUAAUACCCCAUAUGCUUUCGAGUGAAAUGGAUUUUUCCGCCUAGAGAGAAGCUUGCGCCUGAUUAGCUUGUUGGUAAGGUAAUGGCUUACCAAGGCGACGAUCAGUAUCUGGUUUGAGAGGAUGAUCAGACACACUGGAACUGAGACACGGUCCAGACUCCUACGGGAGGCAGCAGUGGGGAAUUUUCCGCAAUGGGCGAAAGCCUGACGGAGCAAUCUCGCGUGAGGGAUGACGGCCUAUGGGUUGUAAACCUCUUUUUUCAGGGAGGAAUAAAAUGACGUGUACCUGAAGAAUAAGCAUCGGCUAACUCCGUGCCAGCAGCCGCGGUAAGACGGAGGAUGCAAGUGUUAUCCGGAAUCACUGGGCGUAAAGCGUCUGUAGGUGGUUUAGUAAGUCAACUGUUAAAUCUUGGAGCUUAACUUCAAAAUCGCAGUCGAAACUGCUAGACUAGAGUAUAGUAGGGGUAAAGGGAAUUUCCAGUGGAGCGGUGAAAUGCGUAGAGAUUGGAAAGAACACCGAUGGCGAAGGCACUUUACUGGGCUAUUACUGACA
rnacentral:rRNA from 1 species